ACUGCUAUCGGAUGAUACUAAGCCAUGCGAGUCUUUGUAGUAAUACAAGGCAGACGGCUCAGUAACACGUAGUCAACCUACCCUAUGGACAAGAAUAAUCUCGGGAAACUGGGCAUAAUUCUUGAUAGAUCAUAAUGCCUGGAAUGGUUUAUGGUUAAAAUGAUUCGUCGCCAUAGGAUGGGACUGCGGCCUAUCAGCUUGUUGGUGAGGUAAUGGCCCACCAAGGCGAUUACAGGUACGGGCUCUGAGAGGAGAAGCCCGGAGAUGGGUACUGAGACACGGACCCAGGCCCUAUGGGGCGCAGCAGGCGAGAAAACCUUGCAAUGUGCGAAAGCACGACAAGGUUAAUCCGAGUGAUUUCUGCUAAAGAAAUCUUUUGCCAGUCAUAAAACCACUGGUGAAUAAGGGGUGGGCAAGUUCUGGUGUCAGCCGCCGCGGUAAAACCAGCACCUCAAGUGGUCAGGAUGAUUAUUGGGCCUAAAGCAUCCGUAGCCGGCUUUGUUAGUUUUCGGUUAAAUCCAUGUGCUCAACGCAUGGGCUGCCGAAAAUACUGCAUAGCUAGGGAGUGGGAGAGGUAGACGGUACUCAGUAGGAAGGGGUAAAAUCCUUUGAUCUAUUGAUGACCACCUGUGGCGAAGGCGGUCUACCAGAACACGUUCGACGGUGAGGGAUGAAAGCUGGGGGAGCAAACCGGAUUAGAUACCCGGGUAGUCCCAGCUGUAAACGAUGCAGACUCGAUGAUGCAUUGGCAUAAUAGCCAGUGCAGUGUCGCAGGGAAGCCGUUAAGUCUGCCGCCUGGGAAGUACGUACGCAAGUAUGAAACUUAAAGGAUUGGCGGGGAGCACCACAAGGGUGAAGCCUGCGGU
rnacentral:rRNA from 1 species